AUUGAACGCUGGCGGCAUGCUUUACACAUGCAAGUCGAGCGGCAGCGCGGGGGCAACCCUGGCGGCGAGCGGCGGACGGGUGAGUAGAGCAUCGGAACGUAUCCCGUAGUGGGGGACAACCCAGCGAAAGCUGGGCUAAUACCGCAUAUGCUCUACGGAGGAAAGUGGGGGACUCGCAAGGGCCUCACGCUAUGGGAGCGGCCGAUGUCCGAUUAGCUAGUUGGUGGGGUAAGGCCCACCAAGGCGACGAUCGGUAGCUGGUCUGAGAGGAUGAUCAGCCAGACUGGGACUGAGACACGGCCCAGACUCCUACGGGAGGCAGCAGUGGGGAAUUUUGGACAAUGGGGGCAACCCUGAUCCAGCUAUGCCGCGUGCGGGAAGAGGGCCUUCGGGUUGUAAACCGCUUUUGUCAGGGAAGAAAAGGCUCGAACUAAUACUUUGGGCUCAUGACGGUACCUGAAGAAUAAGCACCGGCUAACUACGUGCCAGCCGCCGCUGUAAUAC
rnacentral:rRNA from 1 species